rnacentral:lncRNA from 1 species
GGCUUGGGCUGGUGACGCGUGCGCCGGCCGGCCGCCGAGGGGCUACCGUUCUGCCUCCGACCGGUCGUGUGUGGGUUUACUCGGAGAAAUACUAGGCUUUAGAAUUUCACCAUAUGAAUUUUGGGAGAGAGGAGCACAGUUCAGCCCAUAACUAACACACGACGGAAUGAAGUUGAUAAUAGUGAGACCUUGUUGGUACAAGACUAUGUAACAUAACCUGCGCUUCUCAACAAAGAAUUGCUUUUCUGACUUCUGCACUCAAUAGCAAGACAAAUCUCUCCUCUGCCUUCUCCUUAUCAGACUACUCAACAUGAAGGCAAUAAGAAUGAAGACCUCUAUGUAUAAUAAUUGACUUCCACUUAAUAAAUAAGGUUACUUGGUACACUGGUCGACAAAACCUUGAAAUGUUGAUGUUUAAGGGCUGUUGAUUGCUGGCAGCAAAGAAGUCCAACUGUGCUGGUACCCGAGAUAGCGUCUCCACAUUUUCUUCCAGGAUCAUCACCUUUGUUCUAAAUAGCUCCCACAUAGUGUGAACAGAAGUCAUAUGUUUUAGAUUUUCUGCCUUGGCACCCAGGAAACCAGUAUGAUUGAGUAAACAUAUUAAACUUCCUCUGCAUUUCCAGCCUGAACAGAUGUUGAGUACAAGCUGAUCCACCUACGUUCAACCUGAGAGAGUCCACAUCCACAGACUGUUUCAUUUCCCUUUUUCAAUUUACAUAGAAGCAUAGAUUCUUGCUGGCAUAUACAAAUGCGCCAUUUAAGGCAAUCAAAAAUGGUUCCACAUCUCAUCUGAUUUCCACAAUUGUUGCUGUAACGAUGGACUACUGAGGAGAGAGACAAUUUCUCUGGCACAUCUUCCCACAUUUUAGCAACAUGUUCAUGGAGAGCCAAUAUUCAGUAAUUACAGCCCAAUUCCUCACAAUUUCACAAUUCGCUAACAAUAUGCAUUUUCACAAUGUAAAGCUGAUUUUCCUUUAACCAAAUCAAACAUGAAAAGAUAGCUGCAUGCAAUGGGCAAUCUAGAUCAUUAGAAGAUUGAUGUAAAAUUAGAGGACACUGAGACUGGAAUAGAUUGCAAACUUCAGGGAGCUCAGAAAACUUGUAAACUCUACAUUUUGAGGAAAUAUGUUGUCGAUGCUUUUGCAACUCUAUGCAGUAACUUAACAAAUAAAGCCUUAAAGUAACUU